UACGGAGGGGGCUAGCGUUGUUCGGAAUUACUGGGCGUAAAGCGCACGUAGGCGGCUUUGUAGGUUAGAGGUGAAAGCCCGGGGCUCAACUCCGGAAUUGCCUUUAAGACUGCAUCGCUAGAAUUGUGGAGAGGUAAGUGGAAUUCCGAGUGUAGAGGUGAAAUUCGUAGAUAUUCGGAAGAACACCAGUGGCGAAGGCGACUUACUGGACAAAUAUUGACGCUGAGGUGCGAAAGCGUGGGGAGCAAACAGG
rnacentral:rRNA from 1 species